AGGAUAAACGCUGGCGGCGUGCCUAACACAUGCAAGUCGAACGUCCUACGCGCAAGCGUAGGGAGUGGCGGACGGGAUAGUAACACGUGGGAACGCGCCCUUCGGUUCGGAAUAACUCAGGGAAACUUGAGCUAAUACCGGAUACGCCCUUACGGGGAAAGAUUUAUUGCCGAAGGAACGGCCCGCGUCCGAUUAGCUAGUUGGUGAGGUAAUGGCUCACCAAGGCGACGAUCGGUAGCUGGUCUGAGAGGAUGACCAGCAUCACUGGGACUGAGACACGGCCCAGACUCCUACGGGAGGCAGCAGUGGGGAAUAUUGGACAAUGGGCGCAAGCCUGAUCCAGCCAUGCCGCGUGGAUGAUGAAGGCCUUAGGGUUGUAAAGUCCUUUUAACGGGAAGAUAAUGACGGUACCCGUAGAACUAAGCCCCGGCUAACUUCGUGUCAGCAGCCGC
rnacentral:rRNA from 1 species